AAUGAACGCUAGCGGUAGGCCUAACACAUGCAAGUUGAACGCAUACUUUUACAGUAUAAGUAGCCAACGGGUGAGUAACGCGUGAGAAAUCUACCUUACAAUCUGGGAUAAAAUCCCGGAUUCUUUCUAAACUAGAUGUUCCGACAAAUAGUAUAGAAUAAAAGAUUAAAUGUCGUUGUAAGAUGUGCUCGCGUAGGAUUAGGUAGUUGGUGGGGUAAAAGCUACACCAAGCCGAAGAUCCUUAGCUGGUCUGAGAGGAUGAUCAGCCACACUGGGACUGAGACACGGCCCAGACGCUUUCGAGCGGCAGCAGUGAGGAAUUUUGGACAAUGGGCGAAAGCCUGAUCCAGCCAUAUCGCAUGAGUGAAGAAGGCUCAAUUGGUUGUAAAGCUCUGAUUUGAUUGAAGAUUAUGACAUAAGAUAAAAGAAUAGUCCCGGCUAACUUCGUG
rnacentral:rRNA from 1 species